AGUAAGGCUUCUUUGGAAACAAAUACUCUAUGUACGUAACAGCGCGGUAAGCUGCCGCUUGAACUAGCACUUGGCGACCUUAUCCACUAGUGCAUUACCUCAUAACAGCACUACAAAUAUUAUUUUCAAUAUAAUCACUAGUAAAGUGCUUCAUGCACACAUAUGUAGCUCGAUUUGGUGUUUAAUGCAUCUCCUCGCCGGCAGAACUGCUUUUACUUUUUCGCCAGAUGUGCAUCCGUAGGAAACGA